rnacentral:lncRNA from 1 species
CCAAACUGAAAAAUUCAGCUCCUAUGAUACACACCAAAAUAUGACAAGUUGAUUGUACCGGCCUACGUUUGUGGCAGAUGUUUUGGCAGCGAUAUAACAAGCCAAUCUUUAAUAUCCGGAACAUUCUCAAUCAUCCGACGAUCACUCUCAGGACGCUGUUGAAUCCUAGCAAACUAGGCAAUGCAGGCGGUAAUUUUUUUUCAUUUAUUUUAUUAAUGUUUGAAAUUAUAAAUUUUAUGAAAAUUUAAGUUUUUACAAAAGUUUAACAUAAUUUGAUACGUAUUGCUCUUGCAGUUGUAUCUGUGAUGGCUAUAACAUCGUCAUCACUUGCGCAGUGAACUGUAAUUGUGAAGAGGUUGGAAGUGUAAUCAUGAUAAUGAUAUGGGAAACACAUGUUUCUCCCAAUAAUAUCACACACUCUUUUCUUUGGAGGUUUAGAGAUCAUGUACUUAACAAGGUGUUUGAUAUAAAGACUUAAGAAUGCUUAGAAUCUACAAUUAAAGUUGGGAUGACUUAUGAGCUUUUGUAAUUUCUUUUAGCUGAAAGAAAU